rnacentral:rRNA from 1 species
GAACGGGUGAGUAACACGUGAGUAACCUGCCCUUAACUCUGGGAUAAGCCUGGGAAACUGGGUCUAAUACCGGAUAUGACUCCUCAUCGCAUGGUGGGGGGUGGAAAGCUUUAUUGUGGUUUUGGAUGGACUCGCGGCCUAUCAGCUUGUUGGUGAGGUAAUGGCUUACCAAGGCGACGACGGGUAGCCGGCCUGAGAGGGUGACCGGCCACACUGGGACUGAGACACGGCCCAAACUCCUACGGGAGGCAGCAGUGGGGAAUAUUGCACAAUGGGCGCAAGCCUGAUGCAGCGACGCCGCGUGAGGGAUGACGGCCUUCGGGUUGUAAACCUCUUUCAGUAGGGAAGAAGCGAAAGUGACGGUACCUGCAAAAAAAGCGCCGGCUAACUACGUGCCAGCAGCCGCGGUAAUACGUAGGGCGCAAGCGUUAUCCGGAAUUAUUGGGCGUAAAGAGCUCGUAGGCGGUUUGUCGCGUCUGCCGUGAAAGUCCGGGGCUCAACUCCGGAUCUGCGGUGGGUACGGGCAGACUAAAGUGAUGUAGGGGAGACUGGAAUUCCUGGUGUAGCGGUGAAAUGCGCAAAUAUCAGGAGGAACACCGAUGGCGAAGGCAGGUCUCUGGGCAUUAACUGACGCUGAGGAGCGAAAGCAUGGGGAGCGAACAGGAUUAGAUACCCUGGUAGUCCAUGCCGUAAACGUUGGGCACUAGGUGUGGGGGACAUUCCACGUUUUCCGCGCCGUAGCUAACGCAUUAAGUGCCCCGCCUGGGGAGUACGGCCGCAAGGCUAAAACUCAAAGGAAUUGACGGGGGCCCGCACAAGCGGCGG